GAUGAACGCUGGCGGCGUGCCUAAUACAUGCAAGUCGAGCGAACAGACGAGGAGCUUGCUCCUCUGACGUUAGCGGCGGACGGGUGAGUAACACGUGGAUAACCUACCUAUAAGACUGGGAUAACUUCGGGAAACCGGAGCUAAUACCGGAUAAUAUAUUGAACCGCAUGGUUCAAUAGAGAAAAACGGUUUUGCUGUCACUUAUAGAUGGAUCCGAGCCGCAUUAGCUAGUUGGUAAGGUAACGGCUUACCAAGGCAACGAUGCGUAGCCGACCUGAGAGGGUGAUCAGCCACACUGGAACUGAGACACGGUCCAGACUCCUACGGGAGGCAGCAGUAGGGAAUCUUCCGCAAUGGGCGAAAGCCUGACGGAGCAACGCCGCGUGAAUGAUGAAGGUCUUCGGAUCGUAAAACUCUGUUAUUAGGGAAGAACAAAUGUGUAAGUAACUAUGCACGUCUUGACGGUACCUAAUCAGAAAGCCACGGCUAACUACGUG
rnacentral:rRNA from 1 species